UUUUAUACAGUGUCUAAUUAGUAAUAUUUUUUGUUGUAGGUAACAUGUCACAAACGAACUGGGCCCGUAACUGACUGAAGAACACAAGACAAAUACCUAAAGCUACGAGUAAUGAUGUCUAUGGUUUAUGGGAACAUAGAAUACACAGAUAGAUGUCGCAUCAGUCCGUGAUAUCGACGCAAGAUUAAAGGAUCAAGAAUUUCGUAAGAAAUUCAAGGUGGCCAAAGCGAAAGACGGAAGUUAUGCUUACCUUCGAUAGCUGCAACUCACUAGUACAGCGCUGGUGUGCCUAAAUGGAUGACCUUAACACAAAAUAAUAAAAGAAUA
rnacentral:lncRNA from 1 species